ACACACACACACACACACAAACACAAUAAAGGGUUCGUUCACCCGAGAAUGAAUAUUCUGUUAUAAAUUACUCGUCUUCAUGUCAUUCCAAACUCCUGAGAUGUUUCUAACCCCGUCUGUGACAACAAGACUCAGAGGAAUACUGCAUCCGUGAUCAUCUGCAACACAUUACAGCAUGAAUAUGGUCUCCUCUUGGAACAAUGCAGUGUGUUUGUUUAAAGCAGACUAAUGUGGCAGUAAACUGGGUCUGCUCCUCCUUGAGCAGAUUUCUGACCUAUAUAAGUUACUCUGUGCACAUUACAGGCUCCUGAAAUAGGCUUGGCUCUGACUCUGGCGCUGGUUGUGUCUUGUUUGUGUGGAUGGUGAUUUACAGCCGUGUGUUUGGCCUGGAUUUGUGUUGACCUGAUCAUGAAGCUCUGAUUGAACAAGCUCUGAGCUGUGGAGCCGACAGAACCAGACACAUCCACUGAACCAGAUCUAAAGCAGGCUGGAUCACAAUGACAGAUGUACGGGUUCUGUUAACUCAAGGGUUUAUCCGGAGUCUGAAUCAGAAGAAGCAACAGCACAACAAACAGACAAUCACACAGUGCACAGGAGAGUCUGUCUGAUUCAUUCCUCAUGAGGGAGUCUGUUUGAUUCAUUCCGCACGAGGGAGUCUGUUUGAUUCAUUCCGCACGAGAGAGUCUGUUUGAUUCAUUCCGCACGAGAGAGUCUGUUUGAUUCAUUCCUCACGAGGGAGUCUGAUUCAUUCCUCACGAGAGAGUCGGUUUGAUUCAUUCCGCACGAGAGAGUCUGUUUGAUUCAUUCCUCACGAGAGAGUCUGUUUGAUUCAUUCCUCACGAGAGAGUCUGUUUGAUUCAUUCCUCACGAGGGAGUCUGAUUCAUUCCUCACGAGAGAGUCUGUUUGAUUCAUUCCUCACGAGGAUUCUUUCCUCACGAGAGAGUCUGUUUAAUUCCUUUCUAAUGAGAGAGUUGGUUUUAUUAAUUUCUCACUAGGGAGUCGGUUUGAUUUCUUUCUCAUGAGAGAGUAUGUUUUGAUCCAUUUUGCAGAAGAGAAUUGGUUAGUUUCAUGUUUCAUGAAGGAGUCAGUUUUGGUUCAUUUCUUAUGAGAGAGUUGGUUUGAUUCAUUCCCUUGCGAGGAAGUCUGUUUGAUUCAUUUCUGAGGAAAGAGUCACUGAUUCAUUUCUCCGGAGAGAGUCAGAUUGAUUCAUUUCUCGGGAGAGAGUCAUGAGGGAUUCAAAUGUAUAUCUAUGUAAAUGUAAAGUUGUCCUGAUAUUAACCAACAAAUCAAACCUAUUUGAAUGUGAUAUAAAUAAUUAUAAUUAAUAUUCUGUCAGUUAUUCUCAAUGAUAGAUCAUUUAGUCAUUAGAGAUGCUUGUAAGCCAGCGCUGAGCUGGAGCUGGGUGAACGUGCUGUCUCAGAGCGGCUCUGGGUUGAUUCUUCAUCAGUUCAGUGUGCUUCUCGUCUGCUGGGUGUGUGUUAUUCUGUGUGUGCUGCUGCUGUGUUUGGGAUAUUCUGCAUGUGAGUGUGAACAGGUGAAUGGCCUGUAGUGUGCUGGUGUUGUGUUGUUGUGUUGUUGAUCCCGCUGUCCUGCAUCAGCAAACGUGUUGUCAUGUUAAACCACACGCUCUAAUCCUGCUGAUGAAGCUGCUGUGUGAUUAAUGUGCGUCACACGCCAGUGUUAAUGUGAUUAUGGAGGAUCUGCUGAGGGCCUGCUGUGUCCACACGUGCUGCUGAUCUGUGUGUGUGUGUGUGUGUGUGUUUGUGUGUGUGUGUUUAGUCUGAUCUGCAGUGUUGAGUCGGGAGUAAAGCUGAACAUUAUUAAUAAUAAUUAUUACAAAAUCAAAUCCAGACACUGUGCAUUAGUUCAGCAGUUCAUCAGCACGACUGGAUCCAGUCAGUUCAGUUCCUGUGUGUUCCUGUGUGAGUCCAGUGUUCAGAGCGGAAGAGUCCAAACACUGCAGAGCAAAUCAUGCAUGCGCAGCUCCACAAGACCCAAACCAAGCAGGACAGCGGAGGAACAAACCUCACCAGCUGACCAAAGAGAAGGAGACAAACCUGGAGAGCGACCUGGCUCAGCUGGGCUCCAUCAUUUCUCCUCUGGACGAACGUCCUGUGCAGAGCUGCAGUCUAGGCGCUGGAGAGCGCUGGACGUCCAUCGUGGAGAAGCUGCACGGCUGGUGUUCAGGCCGGCCCACAACAUCAAUGCGGAGACUCGUCUGUCACUGGGGUCUUACAGGAAUCAGUCUCCUGCUCUCCACUCCUCCAUCACCACCACAGCAGCGGCUCAGGAUACGGCCUGGUCCAGGAUUAUGGAGACCUCUAGAACUCCUCUGUGGUUGACAUCUUCUCUUGGAUCUCAUCAAUGGCGCUGCAGAAUCACUUGAGGCCUCGGAAUGAGUAUUCAGCCAGUCUCUGCCAGAGCACACUUAGCUUUGCUUAGCAUAGAUCAUUGAUUCAGAUUAGACCGUUAGCAUGAGUGAAGAGUUUGACGAGUUGUCCUGUUCAGAGCGCCACUCUCCUGCUGAUCAGGAUAAGGAGCGGUUCUGUUCUGUGCUCUCAGUGCGGUGGAGGGAUCCAGCAGUUUACAGAGCAGUGAUGUCUCACACACACACACACACACACAACAUCAGCGCAGGAAACGAGCACAUAACACAAUGACAGGUUAUUCCAACAUCCUCCAGCACUAGUGUGUGUGUGUGUGUGUGUGUGUUUGUGUGUUUCUGUGUCUGAAUUGUGUGUCAUUGUGUGUGUGUGUGUGUGCGUGUGCGUGCUGCUGCUGUGUUUGACCUACUUCAGUAUCUGCAUCAGCGUCACACACACUGCAGCUCCAACACUCCAGCACUGAUGAUGAAGCAGAGAAACACUCAAUUGGAGGAGGUUCCCCCGCCGGUGUCUCUGCUGCCCGUCUGUCCUCCUCCUCCUCUGGCCGCCGCUCUCUCUCAGCACCGCAGCAGCAGCAGGUUCUCCAGUCUGGGACGCCUCUUCAAACCCUGGAAGUGGAGGAAGAAGAAGAGCGAGAACUUCAAGCUGAGGGCCACAGCUCUGGAGAGGAAGAUGUCAGUGCGUCAGACUCGAGAGGAGCUGAUCAAGCGAGGAGUGCUGAAGGAGAUCUUCCAGAAAGGUUCAUGUCUCUUCAUCAUCUGUCAUUAUCCUGUAUAUCCCAUAUACUGCUGUGACUCCACACACUGAACUGUUCUCCGAGAUCUACACAGUCGGUUUGUGGUUUAGAAAUGGUUGUACAUGCUCAUUUAUUACUCCAUAAACGCCUCUUAUUGACCGUAUUUGGAAUGGUCAUGAAUAUUUAUGAGCUCUGCUCUGACACAGCUCUUGCUUCAUUCCUCAAAAAUAUUUGAACAUUUUAUUUCAUAUCUUAUUUUGGAUUUAGUAUAUUUGGAGAGGUUAGUUUCAGCUUGAGCAUGAGUUAUCUAAUGUAACCCAGAGGACGCUUCCUUUGCUCCCGAGCUGUGUUGUGGAUGAAAUACAGGCGAAAUUAUAGUUAAACCCAAAAAAAAGAGAUUGACAGGGAUCCGUUUAGAUUUUAAAGCUGUAAUGUGUAUGAAAACAUGGGGCUCAGCCUCCGCAUAAACAACAUCUUUACUCCAGGAAAAUUACUGUAAGAGCCGAGUGAUAAACUCAGCCGUCAACGUGUGUUUACUGCCGCAUUACAAACAUGCAGGAGCUACAGAGGCUAUAGCUGAAGGGGAGGAGCUAUCAGUGGUUAAGCAGAAGGGGAGGAGCUAUCAGGAGCUAAGCAGAAGAGGCAGGAGCUAUCAGGUGCUAAGCAGAAGGGGAGGAGCUAUCAGGUGCUAAG